rnacentral:lncRNA from 1 species
UGGGUAAAACGAUAAUUAUUAUUACUUUAAACAUAAUUAACAAAACACGGUCUUUUUGAAGGAAAAGGAACAUUUGAUUUCUCUGGAAACUAAACCAAAUUUUGUAUUAUUAAAACUAGUUGGUGGGUCAAUCAAUUUUACUUUGAAAUAUGGAAUGGACAAAAGAAUAGACACUUGGCAUAGUGCUCCCACAACCACAAGUCGCAUCAUCUCCCAUAAAAGAUCCGCUUGUCAUUUCCGAGGAAACGUUCCUGAUGGGGACACGUGGAGAUCACUAGACGGC